rnacentral:lncRNA from 1 species
CUGAUUUGUUCACAAUGAAAUCAUCUCUAUGUCGAUGUAUAGUAAUGUAGAGAAUCAUACUACUUCCUCCAGUAUGUAUUAGCUAGCAUGUAUGAUUAUUCAUUUUCCUUUCUUUCAUUUUUUGGGUGGGGGUGGGGGUUGGGGGGGGGCUGCAUUCAAAUUAUUUUUGUGUGAAAUUACAUCUUUCCCCUAAUAUAUUAAGAAAAAGAUUUCCAUGUUCUAUUCUAAGAGUUCUAGUAACAACCCCUGUAUUUGGAUAAUAAACUUGUUGGAUGUGAUUUGAAUCAUUGAUUCAAUCUGAUUUAAGUUAGUAAUGACUCCAACGAUUAGAUAAAUAACAAACUUCGUGCACGUAUAGUGAAAACAUGAUCAUGUUCACAACCUACUAUACAUGAGCUAUAGGCAGACAUUUAAAAACUAAUGUGACACUCCUAUUUUUUCUGACCAUUUUCCACACAUUGUUUAGUCAAGAUCAUUUUAAAUACGAAUCGAUUGCCUGGUGAUGCUACCAAAAAAUAUCACCUGAAGAUCUCGAGCUCGAUGACUGGGAUGGAACACGAACUGCGCCUUCCAGUACCUGAAACAAAGGCAACGAGGUGUGUGCUCGUCGCCCUUCCGAUGCUUAAGUCAGAUAGGAAAUUUAAUGCGUGAGGCUAUAAAU